CCAUUUGUUUCUUCCCUUCCUUCCUUGUCCUGUUUUUCUCUGCUGGGGAGUUGAAGAAAAAGAAACAGAGGGGAGAGAGAGAGAGAGAGAGAGCAAGGCGAAGAGCUCGGAAGAGCUCGCGGUAGAGGAAGAAGAUGAGGCAGAUGAGGAAAGGGACCCAAUUAGGGCAGAGGACAGAGAGAGCUCGGGGGGAAAAGGAAGCUGGGAAACAGAGCAAGAGGGAGUGACGAGUGGGACAGAGCAAGCAAAGGUACGGUGGAUGGAAGUGGAGAGCAUCGAAUAGGGAAAAGUUUAGCUUACAUUGAACUAGUUUUUGGACUAUCUUAGGCUAUACUCAUGAUUGAUAAGAGUUGAGGACAUCGAUUGUGCGCCAACGAUAUCAAGUUUGGAGAAAUAUUUUUGGGUAUUCGCCAUGGGACCGCUGGAAUCGGCGGAAUAGAAAGUGGGGCACAAAUGGCCGCUGGACCUGGCAGAAUAGCAAGUGGGGCACAAAUGACCGUUGAACCCGACGGAAUAGAAAGUGGGGCACAAAUAGUCGCUGGACCCGGCGGAAUAGAAAGUGGAGCAUAAAUGGCCGUUAGACCUGGCGGAAUAGCAAGUGGGGCACAUAGAAAGUGGGGCCCAAAUAGCCGCUAGACCUGGCGAAAUAGAAAAUGGAGCCUGAAUGGCCGCUGGACCCGGUGGAAUAGAAAAAAAGGGUUGGGGUGAAAUGUCGGGGUCACGGUGCCAUCUUAAAUUAUCGUAAGGGAAUGUGAUCAUAUGGCUAUAUUGAUUGGUUUUGUUGUAUAUUGUUUGUUCUGUUUGAUUUAUGGAGAUGUGAUGAUUGUUGAGAUUGUCUGAAGUAGUUAUGUGAAAAUCGUGUUCUUUGCUGAUACUUGAUUUAGUCAGGGUGUGACUGUUAGGCAAUGCUAAGUUAAUGGUUAAUUCUAAUACUAUUAUAUAGUUAUAAAGAUAAUUGAUUGGUUUAUAAUGAAUUUUGUAAUUCUUUGUAUGUAUUGUACAACAUGCUGUGUUGGUGAAUUAAAUGACAAAUUUGGAUAUGCUAAUAGUAUCUAUAUAUAAACUCUUGGUCGUUUAAAAUAUAUUUAUUACUUAAUAUUAAAUUCAUUUCACUCUGAAAUUUUGUGCUCAUUGAGAUGCAGCUUACACCCUACAUAUAGUUUUUCCAUAUAAGCUUCUAGUUGCGCGGGAGAACCAUUUUUGAUAUCGGGGAUCAGGUCAGAGAACUAGGUAGGGAGUUUAGUUAUUUGGUAGGUAUUCUUUUUGUAUAGAAUGUAUUUGAAAAUGUUAUGACUUGAAACUUUUGCCUAGUUGAUUUAUUGAUGUAGAUUUGCUGAAAUUAUAUUUAUAUAAAUAUAUAUGUGAGAGUUUGUUAGUUAGUUAUAUAAUUUUGGGAGUUAUGAAAAGCAUGUUGUAUAUGAAUAGUUAUGGGAUAAGGGAUAUUGAGAAAAUAUUGGAAAAAUUCUG